rnacentral:rRNA from 1 species
AAACUUUCAACAACGGAUCUCUUGGUUCUGGCAUCGAUGAAGAACGCAGCGAAAUGCGAUAAGUAAUGUGAAUUGCAGGAUUCAGUGAAUCAUCGAAUCUUUGAACGCACAUUGCGCCCCUUGGUAUUCCGAGGGGCAUGCCUGUUCGAGCGUCAUUA